rnacentral:rRNA from 1 species
GACGAACGCUGGCGGCGUGCUUAACACAUGCAAGUCGAACGGAAAGGCCCUGCUUGCAGGGUACUCGAGUGGCGAACGGGUGAGUAACACGUGGGUGCUCUGCCCUGCACUUCGGGAUAAGCCUGGGAAACGGGGUCUAAUACCGGAUAGGAGCCAUUUUUAGUGUGAUGGUUGGAAAGUUUUUUCGGUGUAGGAUGAGCUCGCGGCCUAUCAGCUUGUUGGUGGGGUAAUGGCGUACCAAGGCGGCGACGGGUAGCCGGCCUGAGAGGGUGGACGGCCACAUUGGGACUGAGAUACGGCCCAGACUCCUACGGGAGGCAGCAGUGGGGAAUAUUGCACAAUGGGCGCAAGCCUGAUGCAGCGACGCCGCGUGGGGGAUGACGGCCUUCGGGUUGUAAACUCCUUUCGCUAGGGACGAAGCUUUUGUGACGGUACCUAGAUAAGAAGCACCGGCUAACUACGUG